UGAUGAAGAAUUUGUAUGGAGUUGGAAUAAUUUCCCUUCGUUUGCCGCUAGGGCGCUGUUCCAACUCCAUACAAAUUUGAGUUA
rfam:Bombyx mori DNA, contig: Bm_scaf25_contig16541, strain: p50T/Dazao, build 2, whole genome shotgun sequence.